UACGUAGGGUGCAAGCGUUGUCCGGAAUCACUGGGCUUAAAGGGUGCGUAGGCGGGCUGCCAAGUUUGGGGUGAAAUCCUCCGGCUCAACCGGGGAAGUGCCUUGAAUACUGGCGGUCUCGAGGGAGGUAGGGGCGUGCGGAACUAACGGUGGAGCGGUGAAAUGCGUUGAUAUCGUUAGGAACUCCGGUGGCGAAGGCGGCACGCUAGGCCUCUUCUGACGCUGAGGCACGAAAGCCAGGGGAGCGAACGGG
rnacentral:rRNA from 1 species